rnacentral:rRNA from 1 species
GACGAACGCUGGCGGCGUGCUUAACACAUGCAAGUCGAACGGAAAGGCCCUGCUUUUGUGGGGUGCUCGAGUGGCGAACGGGUGAGUAACACGUGAGUAACCUGCCCUUGACUUUGGGAUAACUUCAGGAAACUGGGGCUACUACCGGAUAGGAGCUCCUGCUGCAUGGUGGGGGUUGGAAAUUUUCGGCGGUUGGGGAUGGACUCGCGGCUUAUCAGCUUGUUGGUGGGGUAGUGGCUUACCAAGGCUUUGACGGGUAGCCGGCCUGAGAGGGUGACCGGCCACAUGGGGACUGAGAGACGGCCCAGACUCCUACGGGAGGCAGCAGUGGGGAAUAUGGCACAAUGGGCGGAAGCCUGAGGCAGAAACGCCGCGUGCGGGAUGACGGCCUUCGGGGUGUAAACCGCUUUCGCCUGUGACGAAGCGUGAGUGACGGUAAUGGGUAAAGAAGCACCGGCUAACUACGUG